rnacentral:rRNA from 1 species
UGGGGAAUAUUGCACAAUGGGCGAAAGCCUGAUGCAGCAACGCCGCGUGAAGGAAGAAGGUCUUCGGAUCGUAAACUUCUGUCCUUGGGGAAGAUAAUGACGGUACCCUUGGAGGAAGCCCCGGCUAACUACGUGCCAGCAGCCGCGGUAAUACGUAGGGGGCAAGCGUUAUCCGGAAUUAUUGGGCGUAAAGAGUGCGUAGGUGGUUACUUAAGCGCGGGGUUUAAGGCAAUGGCUCAACCAUUGUUCGCCCUGCGAACUGGGUUACUUGAGUGCAGGAGAGGAAAGCGGAAUUCCUAGUGU